rnacentral:rRNA from 1 species
CCCUUAGAUGGUCUGGGCGGCACGCGCGCUACAAUGAUGCAUUCAAAAAGUCUUCUGACCUUAGAAGGUUGGGUAUUCUCCAAAGUGCAUCGUGAUGGGAAUAGUUUAUUGCAAUUUUUAAUCUUGAACGAGGAAUUCCUAGUAAGUACAGGUCAUCAACUUGUGUUGAUUACGUCCCUGCCCUUUGUACACACCGCCCGUCGCUCCUACUGAUUGAGUGUCUCGGUGAAUUCUUUGACCUUCUGUCGAUUCAGUUCACUGAUCCGACGGUGGAAAGUUGAAUGAACUUCGUCACUUAGAGGAAGGAGAAGUCGUAACA